GCCGUAUCGAUUCGAUCGGGAUACUCAUCAAAUUACAUUGAAAACUGAGUCGUCUUUCUGCCAAUGGCGGGCCACAUCUCCUCGGAGAAGUUGUAAAACCGGUGGAUUACAAAGGCAAAGAGCGCUCUUCAUCUUCUAAAAAAGGAGUUUUCAUCACAUCCUCGAUGCGGCCCUUUU
rnacentral:sRNA from 1 species